CGGCCAUUGUAGUUGCGGACUAGUAUAUAUUUUAAAAUUUUGUUGCAAAACAUUUUUAAAAUUGGUAUCGUUUGACAGAAUAAAAAAAGCAAUACAAGAUUAAAUUUAGCAGAAGGCUAAAUUUCUGCUCUGGAGACAAAUAUAGAAGACAGCAAAAAUGACCAGCCAAAAUAAAGAUUAAAGAGACAAAAAAUUGUGUAUAUCUUGGUGUAGAUGAUUUAUCCUCAAUUUCUUAUAAUAAAACAAAAAAUAUUAUUAAACUUUGGCAUUUACCUGUAACUCCAAACUCUUUACAGAAGUUCAAUGAUUGUUCUGAAAAGUUAGAUGAACAAAAUUUAUUAAAGGAUAAAGUUGUAUCCUUGAAAGAUUUGCUGGUAUUAUUGGCACAAUGGGCAAGCAUUGAAGUGCAACUUGGUGAACUACAAAGCACAUCAAAAGCAGUUAUGAAAAUUUGAGUAACAAAGGUAUGCUAAUUAUUGUAUUACCUAAAAGAAAGUCAUUGCCAUUAAAAGCAGUGAAGAAUUCAAGUACUCUGGAAGAAAAAAGACAAGAAAACACUUAAGUAAAUGGUGUUAUCUUAGUAAUUAUACUAUUUGUAAACAUCCUUGAAUUGUAAAAUCAAGUAAUUCAGAAUAUAUUGGUUGAUUGAAUGAUUGAUAUCACCAGUGUUCUCCAAAUGAAGGUGGUUUGAAUGAAGACGACGGUGAUUACGUCACAUCGUAGUUUUUGAAACCUUUUUUUUUUCUUAUUUAAGACGCAAGAACACAUUACAUUGAGGUUUUA